UGUAGGUGCCGGGGCUAUAUGACUGAGUCACUCAGCUUUAUGUAGGUGUCGAGGCUACAUGACUGAGUCACUCAGCUUUAUGUAGGUGCCGAGGCUAUAUGACUGAGUCACUCAGCAUUAUGUAGGUGCCGAGGCUAUAUGACUGAGUCACUCAGCUUUAUGUAGGUGCCGAGGCUAUAUGACUGAGUCACUCAGCUUUAUGUAGGUGAUGAGGCUAUAUGACUGAGUCACUCAGCUUUAUGUAGGUGCCGAGGCUAUAUGAGUGAGUCACUCAGCUUUAUGUAGGUGCCGAGGCUAUAUGACUGAGUCACUCAGCUUUAUGUAGGUGCCGAGGCUAUAUGAGUGAGUCACUCAGCUUUAUGUAGGUGCCGAGGCUAUAUGAGUGAGUCACUCAGCUUUAUGUAGGUGCCGGGGCUAUAUGACUGAGUCACUCAGCUUUAUGUAGGUGCCGAGGCUAUAUGACUGAGUCACUCAGCUUUAUGUAGGUGCCGAGGCUAUAUGAGUGAGUCACUCAGCUUUAUGUAGGUGCCGGGGCUAUAUGAGUGAGUCACUCAGCUUUAUGUAGGUGCCGGGG